AGUGAACGCUGGCGGCGUGCUUAACACAUGCAAGUCGAACGAGAACGGAUUAUAGCUUGCUAUAAUUGUCAGCUAAGUGGCGCACGGGUGAGUAAUGUAUAGGUAAUAUGCCUCUUACUAAGGGAUAACAAAUGGAAACGUUUGCUAAUACCUUAUACUCCUUAUUAACAGAAGUUAAUAAGGGAAAGAUUUAUUGGUAAGAGAUUAGCCUGUAUUGUAUCAGUUAGUUGGUGGGGUAAUGGCUUACCAAGACUAUGACACAUAACUGGUUUGAGAGGAUGAUCAGUCACACUGGAACUGAGACACGGUCCAGACUCCUACGGGAGGCAGCAGUGGGGAAUAUUGCACAAUGGACGGAAGUCUGAUGCAGCAACGCCGCGUGGAGGAUGACACAUUUCGGUGCGUAAACUCCUUUUAUAUGAGAAGAUAAUGACGGUAUUAUAUGAAUAAGCACCGGCUAACUCCGUGCCAGCAGCAGCCGCGG
rnacentral:rRNA from 1 species